CAGCAGCCGCGGUAAUACGUAGGGUGCGAGCGUUGUCCGGAAUUACUGGGCGUAAAGCGUGCGCAGGCGGUUUCUUAAGUCUGAUGUGAAAGCCCCCGGCUCAACCGGGGAGGGUCAUUGGAAACUGGGAAACUUGAGUGCAGAAGAGGAGAGUGGAAUUCCACGUGUAGCGGUGAAAUGCGUAGAGAUGUGGAGGAACACCAGUGGCGAAGGCGACUCUCUGGUCUGUAACUGACGCUGAGGAGCGAAAGCGUGGGGAGCGAACAGGAUUAGAUACCCCCGUAGUCCCUGUCUCUUAUAC
rnacentral:rRNA from 1 species